CUUUCAUAGGCCGUGCAACACUUUGGGACAAUCGGGUGGAAUUCAGGAUCCUCUCCUAGAAAACCUCUCGGACGCACAUAAACAUAAGACUAGUCUGGCAACAGUAUGAAGAAUGGGUCUGAGAAAACCAGAUUGGAAGGCUGAAGUAUCUGGCCACAAUCCAGGAUGUGUGCAUAUGUAUUUGUAAACAACGUACACACUCAAAUUGAUGGUAUCCCGGUCAUAAGAAGAGAUGCAAUAACGUCAAGAUUGUCACAGAGAGACCUGGGUCAGAAGGAUUUGCAAGAUCAAGCCCUCUUCACAACCACCUAGAACUGGGAGUCACAACUAGUCAAAACUAAUAAAAUGCAUU